ACUCCUCUCUUUCCAGUCUACUGUCGCCCACGUAACUGAGCAGAGGUGGCUCUGGGAAGGACCUGGAGGGGACAUCACGGUCUCCACUCGCUGCAGGAGAGUGCACGGUGCCUCCUCCUGGGGACCUGACCAUGUCCUCGGUCAGUGGGCAACACUCCAGAGAUGAUGACUGGAGGCCUCUGAAUGGAGAACAAAUAAUACCGAGAGUUGUUGGUGCAGAUGAAGAGAAACCAUCCUCACAGGAGUUUGCCUCAGAUACACACAGGAGAUCCUGGAUUAUCCUGAUGUAAUCACAAGAGUCCUCGUAGGAGAGGAGAAGGUGGUGUAAUGGGAGAAGCCGAGACUGGAGUGACAUGUUCUGAAGACGGAGGAAAGGGCCACAAGCCAAGGAUCAG